CCAAUUGUGACUUUACAAACUCAAUUGGAUCAAUCUAAGAUUAAUUUUCUUAUUGUAUGACCCCAUAGAUUCAAUUUUGUCUGAUAGUGAGAUAUACCAUAAUCUCUAUUAUAGUAUCAUUGAACUUCUUUCAAUGGGUUGAAACAAUUCCAACUCACUCCUAUCAAGAAUCAUCGAUCCAUUAUGAUCCUAGUAAGCUCUCACAAUCCACCAGUGACAUCUAGCAAUAUAUAGUAGCAUGCCAGC
rnacentral:lncRNA from 1 species